UUUUUUUGUAAUUAACGAUACAAUUUCAUCUUCAUCCUUUUUUUAUAUAAUUUUUUAUCUUUAUUUUUUUCUGUUUUUUUUAUAAUUUUUUUUGUCACCUUCUCUGCCAACAGCUACGGCGCCUGUGACGACGCCGCUAAGGACCCCCUGCUCCGAGGCUGUAGCGCCGCAGUGACCUCUACGGUAUUGACGUCGGCGCCGGCGAAGAUAAAUCGUCGUUGGAGGCGGCAGAAAAUGAGGGAGAGGGAGAGAUGAGAAGGGCGGGGAAGGGCGAGAGGCUUCGUCGUCGGAGACGGUGGAGAAGAGUCGGAGAAGAAAAGAAAAGGAAAAAGCAAAAAAGAAAAGUCGCGUCGCGGCCUUGGUGGGGUCGGAGGCGAGGAAGGUGGGG
rnacentral:lncRNA from 1 species